CCCGGCACAAGCGGAGGAACAUGUGGUUUAAUUCGAUGAUACGCGAGGAACCUUACCUGGGCUUAAAUGGGGAGUGACAGCUGUCGAAAGAUGGUUUUCUUCGGACACUCUUCAAGGUGCUGCAUGGUUGUCGUCAGCUCGUGCCGUGAGGUGUCGGGUUAAGUCCCAUAACGAGCGCAACCCUUACCGUUAGUUACCAUCAGGUUAAGCUGGGGACUCUAGCGGGACUGCCACCGUAAGGUGAGAGGAAGGUGGGGAUGACGUCAAAUCAGCACGGCCCUUAUGUCCAGGGCUACACACGUGUUACAAUGGCCGGUACAAAGGGCAGCUACUUCGCGAGAAGAUGCUAAUCUCGAAAGCCGGUCUCAGUUCGGAUCGAAGUCUGCAACCCGACUCCGUGAAGUUGGAUUCGCUAGUAAUCGCGCAUCAGCCAUGGCGCGGUGAAUACGUUCCGGGCCUU
rnacentral:rRNA from 1 species